GGUUUUACACAAAUACGUAUUCCAUUCUAUGUUUAACUACCAGAAUACUCCCAACUACACACUUACAAUCAAACAAGCUGUUAAAUCACCAGAAGAUUUAGAACAAUAAAGUAUACUCUUAAUUAUCAGAAGGAGUAGAAUCAAGAAGCUUGUUAAAUCAAUACUGCAUGCUUAUGAAGUAAUUACAGUAGAUCGGAAUAAGAGAUGGAUACGGCACCAAAAGGCUUACAGAAGUGGCUUGAUUUAUCAAUUAAAUUAAAUUAAGAAUUACCAUUUUAUGUAUUCGGGUUUAUUCCAUUUUAAAAGCUACCUUUAUAAAAACAUGGAUUUAUCCCAUCUAUUAAUAAAUAAAAUCCGGUGUUUCUAAACUCUGAUAUUUUUCCUAACUCACGGUCCUGAUGAAAUUUCCGCUGCAAUGUUUUCAAAAUAAAUAACCACCGGUACCACUUGGCUGCUCGCGGCUCCCGAUUCCGUCCAGGGUGGAUCGGGGGUCGUGACAUCUACUAAGAGUAUUUUUGUCAUAUAUUUGAGUUAAGGCCAGCCAGUUAAACAUUUUGUUUUUACUUCCAUGUUUGUGCGAAACUUUUCGAGUAACUUCGUUAUUACAAUGUUCUCUUUGGAAUUAUUUUCCCCUGCACAAUAACAAUGUUCUUUGAUACAUGAAAGUUGACAGACAUAACAAUAUGUACUGUAUCUGAGUAUUCACAUGUAUGUACUGUACUUUUACCUUCACACUAUACCAUAUAUGUCAUGUACUAUAUUUUUGUUACAAUGCAAAUCAGAGAUAGAAAUAAAGCACAUACUCAAUGAAGUAGAAUAUAACUUGUAUGUUCCUUUUUUUUAACACAAUGGUCUUAUAUAUGUACGUGAUGAUUUGAUUUUAAUACAAUGGUCUUAACUAUGUACAUGAUGAUUUGAUAGUGUUGAAAUCAUACCAACAUAUUACACAGCUAGGUAAAGAAAACCUUGCAGGUGAAUCUUUGCUUCAGUAUUGUUCCUAUACCUUAAGAAUUGCAUAAGCAAAUAAGUGUUUAAGUGAACUAGGUGCUUCUUGAAAGAAUGAUCGUUCCUCCCGAUAAGCAUUAGUUGAAACUAUAACAUUUGUUUUUUUCUAGAUUUGAAUAAUCUUUUAUAUCAGUUUCCUCUUUUACCGGUGAUUUCAAGAUUUGGUCAUCUUCAAUGAGUUUUUACUUGUUCUUAAAUGGGAUAAAGGAUUUAAAUAACCCAAACUUUCACUAAUUGACCGAUAACAUUCACAACUUUCGAUUUGUACAACAUCUCUCCCAACUUUCGACUUAUUGGCCGAUAACACUCCCUAACUAACUGAACCCUAACCUCAUUAGUUUUACAAUAUAAAGAGAGCUAAACUAUCCAUUUUAUAGUUCACAAACCGAAGAUAUUCUCAUCAUACAUAUUUAUUUAUUCGAGUAUACCCGAACAACCUCAUGAAGUUCACACUUCUAAUUUUAAACCAAGUGACUAUAACACCUAACAUGGUGUUGGUUCACAUAUUAUAAUCUCAUUCAACAUAGUAAGAAAGUAAGAGAUACCUGGUUAAGAAAUCUUAAACAUACCAAGUUCACACAAAUCAAAUUCCAUAUAACAUCAAGUAUAUAUUGAUUAUAUAAGCAUAUAAUGUUUUUGUAUGUUACCAAUUACUCACACUAUCUUAUUACUUCAAUAUGUUAAGAAUUCUCCCAUGUACUUUUCUAAAAAAAAACAAAUAUCUUACUCACAAGGAAACUUUUUCUUUAACAAUUUCAUAUCAGAAUUUACAGAUUAAUACAUAACUAAUGCAUUCAUAUCAUAUAUAAUAGUUACCCAACUUGUGUCGUCAGCCAAGUAUUAUAAUGUUUCUACUAUUCCCUGUGGCAUCAGCUCAUUUAUUUAGCUCGUCUAUAUAUUGCACCCACAAUCUAGCCUCACAGUUCAAGUUCAAGUCGUAGAAACAAGAGUUUACUUUUCUCACCUCCAAUAUACGAGCCAUAAGCUAACUCAAAACGACUUUAUUCAGUUAUGGAACACUCUCUCAUGAAUAAUCAAAACCUCAUGAAUUUAUUAUAAUUCUUAUAACGUGUCAUUUACAUAUAUAAAAUCACUAUAAUAGUUAAAUAGGAAUUACUAGCUCAAUAAAAGAUAUUGCAUACUUUUAAUUUAGAGCAAGUGUAACUUACCUUUGCCACUAGAAUCUUCGUCUCCUUGAUUGAAAUCCUCAAUCACUGAUCUCUAACUCUUCAUAUAUAUAUUUGGAUUGUGAUUUCAUACAUCCCACUUUAACUGCAAUUUAUAAAGUCAUCUCAAUUCAAAUUAACAUACCAAAUAUCCAUUGAACUAUGAUCAUACUAAUUCAUUUAGCUUAGUUUUUCAACACAGAACACAUAAUCUUCUUGAAAUCUUUUAUCUAAACCCCUAAACAUACAAGUCUCCUGAUACAAAUUUCACUAUGGCAUUUCAUCGAACACCUUUUGUUUAUAUUUAAACUUUAAAUUACAUGGUUUGCAUCAUAGUCUUAUUAAUCCAUUUUGAAUAGAAUAAUAUUAAGAUACAUGCUCCAUCAUUAUAAACAUAAUAGUCAAAUAAAAUAAAUGGAAUUGUAAGACCAAAUCAUCACCUUUAUCAUCAAUUAUAUGAAAUACAAAGAUAUUCAUUUGACUAUUCAUAACCCUAAAUUCACUAUUUAGCAUCUUCAUGUCAUCAAAGGAUUAUGAGUUGUUUAUAUUUUAUAUUCAUAAGUAGACCAACUCAUACUUAUUUAACAACAGAUUUCCACACAUUCAUGGGUACUUCAUUAUACAUUUAUGGUUUCCACCAGAACUCAAAAUUAGGUUAGUAGAUACUUACAAGAGUUCACUUCAUUGUCUUUAGAUGAGCAUACCCGUUAAAGAAUUUGAGGAUUAACUUGCUGGGAUGUAGAAUCAAGAAACCAAUUUUGUUCCUCCUCUUUUUCUCAUGUCGGCCAUAGUCUCAAUUCAAGACUUCCAAAUCCUUCAAGAUGUAAAUGUGGCUUCCAAUUUGGUGUCCAGGUAAUUAAUUAAGUUUGGCUCAUAGCCACUUAACACUCCUCAUAUUUUAUUUCUUACAUACCGUGUAUUAUAGUUUUUGUUCAAUUCCCUAAUAAACCCCAAACUUUGUAAUAUAACUUUUCUUUUAAACAAGUUAGAUUUGCUAACAAA